GACGAACGCUGGCGGCGUGCUUAACACAUGCAAGUCGAACGGAAAGGCCCUGCUUUUGUGGGGUGCUCGAGUGGCGAACGGGUGAGUAACACGUGAGUAACCUGCCCUUGACUUUGGGAUAACUUCAGGAAACUGGGGCUAAUACCGGAUAGGAGCUCCUGCUGCAUGGUGGGGGUUGGAAAGUUUCGGCGGUUGGGGAUGGACUUGCGGCUUAUCAGCUUGUUGGUGGGGUAGUGGCUUACCAAGGCUUUGACGGGUAGCCGGCCUGAGAGGGUGACCGGCCACAUUGGGACUGAGAUACGGCCCAGACUCCUACGGGAGGCAGCAGUGGGGAAUAUUGCACAAUGGGCGGAAGCCUGAUGCAGCAACGCCGCGUGCGGGAUGACGGCCUUCGGGUUGUAAACCGCUUUCGCCUGUGACGAAGCGUGAGUGACGGUAAUGGGUAAAGAAGCACCGGCUAACUACGUGCCAGCAGCCGCGGUGAUACGUAGGGUGCGAGCGUUGUCCGGAUUUAUUGGGCGUAAAGGGCUCGUAGGUGGUUGAUCGCGUCGGAAGUGUAAUCUUGGGGCUUAACCCUGAGCGUGCUUUCGAUACGGGUUGACUUGAGGAAGGUAGGGGAGAAUGGAAUUCCUGGUGGAGCGGUGGAAUGCGCAGAUAUCAGGAGGAACACCAGUGGCGAAGGCGGUUCUCUGGGCCUUUCCUGACGCUGAGGAGCGAAAGCGUGGGGAGCGAACAGGCUUAGAUACCCUGGUAGUCCACGCUGUAAACGGUGGGUACUAGGUGUGGGGUCCAUUCCACGGGUUCCGUGCCGUAGCUAACGCUUUAAGUACCCCGCCUGGGGAGUACGGCCGCAAGGCUAAAACUCAAAGGAAUUGACGGGGCCCCGCACAAGCGGCGGAGCAUGCGGAUUAAUUCGAUGCAACGCGUAGAACCUUACCUGGGUUUGACAUGGAUCGGGAGUGCUCAGAGAUGGGUGUGCCUCUUUUGGGGUCGGUUCACAGGUGGUGCAUGCCUGUCGUCAGCUCGUGUCGUGAGAUGUUGGGUUAAGUCCCGCAACGAGCGCAACCCUUGUUCACUGUUGCCAGCACGUUAUGGUGGGGACUCAGUGGAGACCGCCGGGGUCAACUCGGAGGAAGGUGGGGAUGACGUCAAGUCAUCAUGCCCCUUAUGUCCAGGGCUUCACGCAUGCUACAAUGGCUGGUACAGAGAGUGGCGAGCCUGUGAGGGUGAGCGAAUCUCGGAAAGCCGGUCUCAGUUCGGAUUGGGGUCUGCAACUCGACCUCAUGAAGUCGGAGUCGCUAGUAAUCGCAGAUCAGCAACGCUGCGGUGAAUACGUUCCCGGG
rnacentral:rRNA from 1 species